AGUGAACGCUGGCGGUAGGCCUAACACAUGCAAGUCGAACGGCAGCACAGUAAGAGCUUGCGCUUACGGGGGGCGAGGGGCGGACGGGGGAGGAAUACAUCGGAAGCUACGUUUGCGUGGGGGAUAACGUAGGGAAACUUACGCUAAUACCGCAGACGACCUACGGGUGAAAGCAGGGGAUCUUCGGACCUUGCGCGAGUGAAGGAGGCGAUGUCGGAUUAGCUAGUUGGAGGGGUAAAGGCCCACCAAGGCGACGAUCCGUAGCUGGUCUGAGAGGAUGAUCAGCCACACUGGAACUGAGACACGGUCCAGACUCCUACGGGAGGCAGCAGUGGGGAAUAUUGGACAAUGGGCGCAAGCCUGAUCCAGCCAUACCGCGUGGGUGAAGAAGGCCUUCGGGUUGUAAAGCCCUUUUGUUGGGAAAGAAAAGCAGCAGGUUAAUACCCCGCUGUUCUGACGGUACCCAAAGAAUAAGCACCGGCUAACUUCGUG
rnacentral:rRNA from 1 species